rnacentral:rRNA from 1 species
UACGGAGGGAGCUAGCGUUGUUCGGAAUUACUGGGCGUAAAGCGCACGUAGGCGGUCCGCUAAGUCGGGUGUGAAAUCCCUCGGCUUAACCGAGGAAGUGCAUUCGAAACUGGCGGGCUUGAGUACUGAAGAGGGUCGCGGAAUUCCCGGUGUAGCGGUGAAAUGCGCAGAUAUCAGGAGGAACACCGGUGGCGAAGGCGGGUCUCUGGGCAGUAACUGACGCUGAGAAGCGAAAGCGUGGGUAGCGAACAGG